ensembl:lincRNA
GGAACUUGAGCUUGCAUCAGACUCACCUAAGGCAUCAUGUUAAAACACUGAUUGCUGAACUCUACCCUGAUAGUUUUUGGUUCUGUAGUUCUAAGGCAGAGCUCAUUAAUUUGAAUUUCUAACCAGUUCCCAUAUGAUGCUGAUGCAACUUGUCCUGCAGACCAUACAUUGAGGACCGCUAGCCUAGAGUUCCCCUUUCUUGACCCAGAUGCUGGACUGUUGUAAGCCAACAGUUAGGUCUUUCUGAAAUCCAUGGGCUCAAGCAGGGGCAGAAAAUAUCCAGAUGCCAAAAGGAAGCUUAUUAUUUUAUAGGGACCUCUGCAGAGUGAGCGCCACACUUUGGCUGAAGAGUACAGUUUGUUCCUCACCAUGACCUUGGGGUCCCGUCCCAACUAAUCCAGAGCCAUGUGGGUUUGCAGAGACAGGCAUUCCUCCAAUAUUCUGGCCUCUGACCUGAAAUCUUCUAACCUGAGAAGAGAACAGUCACCUUCCUGGGAAUCUGAAAUAGAAAGGCAAAUUUGUGAAGGCCUUUCUGACAUCUGAAUGGCUGGAUUUGCAUUUGCUGUAGUGAUAACUCAGUGCCAUCCAGACCUGACAGUGAUGAACGAUGCUGGAUUCUGCUCAAAUUCCAUCAAAGCCUGCAGGGUGAAGACUCUGGUCCCUGAACCCAGUGUCCUCUGGCCCUUCCUGUCAAAGCAUUGGAGUGACAUGGAGACAUUUGAGAGGCAGUGAGGAGGAAGGACAGAGGCAUCAGGUGUAAGAAUUCUGGACCCUUAUUUGAAGUCUCUCCUGCUUUGUUGGGCAAAAGUAAUGAGAAACUCCACUUGGCUUCAGAAUGCAGUGUCAACUCCACAUGAAUCAAAGCAAUAAAAAAGAAUCAACUCAGAGCAGGCUGAGCUAUGUGAGAUACGGAAGCAAAGAGAUGAGACAGAGACAUGGGGCCAAGUCAUCAGAAAGAGUUAUACUUGCCACCCCAGAUCUUUCUGCCCUGCUUUCUGUUAAACUGAGGGUCACAGUGUUUGGACACCGCAUGAACAUGCCAAUUUCCUGUGUUGUAAUAUUUUUAUGCACUUUAAGAAGACCACCAGAAACAGCAGAAUAUAUCCAGCUGGGAGAAAAGAAUCUCAUUUGA